UACGUAGGGUGCGAGCGUUGUCCGGAAUUAUUGGGCGUAAAGAGCUUGUAGGCGGUUUGUCGCGUCUGCUGUGAAAAUCCGGGGCUCAACCCCGGACUUGCAGUGGGUACGGGCAGACUAGAGUGUGGUAGGGGAGACUGGAAUUCCUGGUGUAGCGGUGAAAUGCGCAGAUAUCAGGAGGAACACCGAUGGCGAAGGCAGGUCUCUGGGCCACUACUGACGCUGAGAAGCGAAAGCAUGGGGGAGCAAACAGG
rnacentral:rRNA from 1 species